CCUACGGGAGGCAGCAGUGAGGAAUAUUGGUCAAUGGACGCAAGUCUGAACCAGCCAUGCCGCGUGCAGGAAGACGGCUCUAUGAGUUGUACACUGCUUUUGUACGAGGGUAAACGCAGAUACGCGUAUCUGUCUGAAAGUAUCGUACGAAUAAGGAUCGGCUAACUCCGUGCCAGCAGCCGCGGUAAUACGGAGGAUUCAAGCGUUAUCCGGAUUUAUUGGGUUGAAAGGGUGCGUAGGCGGUCGGAUAAGUUAGAGGUGAAAUCCCGAGGCUCAACUUCGGAAUUGCCUCUGAUACUGGUCGGCUAGAGAGUAGUUGCGGUAGGCGGAAUGUAUGGUGUAGCGGUGAAAUGCUUAGAGAUCAUACAGAACACCGAUUGCGAAGGCAGCUUACCAAGCUACUUCUGACGUUGAGGCACGAAAGCGUGGGGAGCAAACAGGAUUAGAUACCCUAGUAGUC
rnacentral:rRNA from 1 species